UUGAAUUAAAUCUGGCGUGAGGUUGUAGCUGGCCCUCUGGGGCAUGUGCACGCCUUCGUCACCUUUAUCUUUCCACCUGUGCACACACUGUAGUCCUGGAUACCUCUCGCUGCAAGGCGGAUGCAGAGCCUGCGCCCUGGCGCGCUUGCUUUGGAUUUCCAGGUCUACGAAUCUUUACACACCCCUAAACGAAUGUCAUAGAAUGUAUAUCACUGGGCCUUUGUGCCUAUAAACCUUAUA
rnacentral:misc_RNA from 1 species